rnacentral:rRNA from 1 species
CUGGACAGUACUGACGCUGAGAUGCGAAAGCGUGGGGAGCAAACAGGAUUAGAUACCCUGGUAGUCACGCUGUAAACGAUGUCGAUUUGGAGUUUGUUGCCUAGAGUGAUGGGCUCCGAAGCUAACGCGAUAAAUCGACCGCCUGGGGAGUACGGCCGCAAGGUUAAAACUCAAAUGAAUUGACGGGGGCCCGCACAAGCGGUGGAGCAUGUGGUUUAAUUCGAUGCAACGCGAAGGACCUUACCUGGUCUUGACAUCCAUAGAAUUCUGCAGAGAUGUGGGAGUGCCUUCGGGAACUAUGAGACAGGUGCUGCAUGGCUGUCGUCAGCUCGUGUUGCGAAAUGUUGGGUUAAGUCCCGCAACGAGCGCAACCCUUAUUCUUUGUUGCCAGCGAUUUGGUCGGGAACUCAAAGGAGACUGCCGUUGAUAAAGCGGAGGAAGGUGGGGACGACGUCAAGUCAUCAUGGCCCUUACGACCAGGGCUACACGCGUGCUACAAUGGCGUAUACAAAGGGAAGCGAAGGUGCGAGCUGGAGCGGAUCUCAUAAAGUACGUCUAAGUUCGGAUUGGAGUCUGCAACUCGACUCCAUGAAGUCGGAAUCGCUAGUAAUCGUAGAUCAGAAUGCUACGGUGAAUACGUUCCCGGGCCUUAUACACACCGCCCGUCACACCAUGGGAGUGGGUUGCACCAGAAGUAGAUAGCUUAACCGCGAGGGGGGCGUUUACCACGGUGUGAUUCAUGACUGGGGUGAAGUCGUAACAAGGUAACCA